rnacentral:rRNA from 1 species
UACGUAGGGCGCAAGCGUUAUCCGGAAUUAUUGGGCGUAAAGAGCUCGUAGGCGGUUUGUCGCGUCUGCCGUGAAAGCCCGGGGCUUAACCCCGGGUCUGCAGUGGGUACGGGCGGGCUAGAGUGCGGUAGGGGAGACUGGAAUUCCUGGUGUAGCGGUGAAAUGCGCAGAUAUCAGGAGGAACACCGGUGGCGGAAGGCGGGUCUCUGGGCCGUAACUGACGCUGAGGAGCGAAAGCAUGGGUAGCGAACAGG